UACGGAGGUGGCAAGCGUUGCUCGGAAUUACUGGGCGUAAAGGGCGCGUAGGCGGCCUUCUAAGUCGAACGUGAAAUCCCCGGGCUCAACCCGGGAACUGCGUCCGAUACUGGAAGGCUAGAAUCCGGGAGAGGGAUGCGGAAUUCCAGGUGUAGCGGUGAAAUGCGUAGAUAUCUGGAGGAACACCGGUGGCGAAGGCGGCAUCCUGGACCGGUAUUGACGCUGAGGCGCGAAAGCGUGGGGAGCAAACAGG
rnacentral:rRNA from 1 species